GACAGAGGGUGCAAACGUUGUUCGGAAUUACUGGGCGUAAAGCGCGUGUAGGUGGCAAGGCAAGUCGGGUGUGAAAGCCCUGGGCUCAACCCAGGAAGUGCACUCGAUACUGCCUCGCUAGAGUCCCGGAGAGGUUGGUGGAACUCUCGGUGUAGAGGUGAAAUUCGUAGAUAUCGAGAAGAACACCGGUGGCGAAGGCGGCCAACUGGACGGUGACUGACACUGAGACGCGAAAGCGUGGGGAGCAAACAGG
rnacentral:rRNA from 2 species